rnacentral:rRNA from 1 species
GCGGCGGACGGGUGAGUAAUGCUUAGGAAUCUGCCUAUUAGUGGGGGACAACAUUCCGAAAGGAAUGCUAAUACCGCAUACGCCCUACGGGGGAAAGCAGGGGAUCUUCGGACCUUGCGCUAAUAGAUGAGCCUAAGUCAGAUUAGCUAGUUGGUGGGGUAAAGGCCUACCAAGGCGACGAUCUGUAGCGGGUCUGAGAGGAUGAUCCGCCACACUGGGACUGAGACACGGCCCAGACUCCUACGGGAGGCAGCAGUGGGGAAUAUUGGACAAUGGGCGAAAGCCUGAUCCAGCCAUGCCGCGUGUGUGAAGAAGGCCUUUUGGUUGUAAAGCACUUUAAGCGAGGAGGAGGCUACCGAGAUUAAUACUCUUGGAUAGUGGACGUUACUCGCAGAAUAAGCACCGGCUAACUCUGUGCCAGCAGCCGCGGUAAUACAGAGGGUGCGAGCGUUAAUCGGAUUUACUGGGCGUAAAGCGUGCGUAGGCGGCUUUUUAAGUCGGAUGUGAAAUCCCUGAGCUUAACUUAGGAAUUGCAUUCGAUACUGGGAAGCUAGAGUAUGGGAGAGGAUGGUAGAAUUCCAGGUGUAGCGGUGAAAUGCGUAGAGAUCUGGAGGAAUACCGAUGGCGAAGGCAGCCAUCUGGCCUAAUACUGACGCUGAGGUACGAAAGCAUGGGGAGCAAACAGGAUUAGAUACCCUGGUAGUCCAUGCCGUAAACGAUGUCUACUAGCCGUUGGGGCCUUUGAGGCUUUAGUGGCGCAGCUAACGCGAUAAGUAGACCGCCUGGGGAGUACGGUCGCAAGACUAAAACUCAAAUGAAUUGACGGGGGCCCGCACAAGCGGUGGAGCAUGUGGUUUAAUUCGAUGCAACGCGAAGAACCUUACCUGGUCUUGACAUAGUAAGAACUUUCCAGAGAUGGAUUGGUGCCUUCGGGAACUUACAUACAG